CCCGUAUAACCAGUAAAUCUAAAGAAUUUUUAAACAUAUCACAACGUUCAAUUAAGUUUCAGGAGAAAUCGGAUCUUUCUUUUCUGUCUUUUUUUGUUGCUACUCUUUUAGAUGCUUCAAGAAUUGAUGUUACGAAAGUGUUUGGUGUAGGAUCGUUUAGACCAUUUAUCACAUGUGCCCAUUUUAUACCAUACACUGCGUUUGAAACAGGGUGACAAGUAGAAUUAUUGUUCAAUAAAUGUGUUAAAUACAGUGCAACACGAAACUGCUGAGCUGGUAAAGAUUUGUGUCCUUGUAAACGGUAAUGAAACGUUCCUAUCGUUUGUAAGAUUUAAAAUAUGAUUUAACGGUAUUGUCACUUUUACAUUGUUUUAGAGUGUAUCAACAGUUCACACAUCUUCGGAUAAGGCUCGUUCAUAUUUAAC
rnacentral:lncRNA from 1 species